rnacentral:rRNA from 1 species
GACGAACGCUGGCGGCGCGCUUAACACAUGCAAGUCGAGCGAAGCGGCGGACGGGUGAGUAACACGUGAGUAACCUGCCUUAGACAUUGGGAUAGCCUCGGGAAACCGGGAUCAAUACCAAAUGGUCUAAGAUGGACUCGGGUCCCAUUAGCUAGUUGGUGGGUAACGGCCCACCAAGGCGACGAUGGGUAGCCGGCCUAAGAGUGUGGACGGCGACAUUUGAACUGAGAAGCGGUCCAAACUCUACGGGAUGCAGCAGUGGUGAAUAUUGCACAAUGGCGGGAACUCUGAUGCAGCGACGCCGCGUGAACGAAGAAGGCUUUCGAGUCGUAGAGUUCUUUUAUAUGAGAAGCGGUACCAUAAGAAAAAGCCCCGGCUAACUCCGUGCCAGCAGCCGCGGUAAUUC